AUAAAUAUUGUUAAUUAAUUAUUUAACUGCAGUUGUAUUUGGUGGUUAACCAGACAUAAAUUGUUUAAAAUUGCAACUACCCGCAUCCGCAAACCGCUGCUGCGGUUACACUAGUCAGGCCCUAAAUCGGUCGACAGCAAGGCCUCGUCCUUCACCUUCACCUGCCUCCUUAGUUUCAAACCCACCUGAAAAUCUGACGUCUGUAACUCUUCCUGGUGAUCGCUCCAACUCCCUCUGUUUCUCUCAUUAUAUAAAUCCCUUCUCCGUACAAAGCUCGAAGCACGUUCUUCAAGCUCCAUGCAACCACAUCAGGCAAUUGGCAAUGAGAUCGGAAAAAUCCAGCAGCAAUUCUCCAUUUGUCUGUUUUUCUGGCGACAUCCCAGGGACGGAUCUAAGUUCCCAUUUAAUCCACUUCUGGAAGGCUAGAAACACUGCGAAAACUGGUUCUUAUUGAAGAGCGGUGAUGCAAAUCGUGGUCCAAGAUACCAACCUCACCUCAAACCGGGAACCACUUAUAUCCUCAUAAAAAUCGUUGCUGAUCACAGUUUAAUGUCAGACAGGUUCAGGUUCCACUUAUAUGAAGAUUUUGAAGCCAACUUUGGGCUCAAGCGACAUCUAUAGUAAGUUUUAUAUCCUCUACAACUUAUUCACUUACCUGUUGUGUAAUCGAAUAAUGUAGAUGUUGUUAGACACAUGAAGCUAAUCAAUGGACAGUCUCUCAUAGACUAACCCGUCCCUGAUAAAGUGGGAAUAAAAACUGUAUCUUGGUUCAUUUACAACCUAACGAGUAUGUUGUUUGCAGUAUAUGUUAGUCACAACGAUCAACACUAGACGAAUUGGUGGUAAUCAUUAGUCCCUUUUGCAUAACUACCUCCGUGCUUUGGUCUUUGAUUUUUUUUGUUUUGCAAAUCAUGUGUGAAUGUAAGAUCGUGACACAUAAUGGUGAGACAGGAGAGAUUUUAAGCUCCUGUAAAAAAAAAAAAAAGAAAGAGAUGUCCAUGCACAGAAAGAAGAGAACAAUAUAUAGAGGAUUUAGUUCUUCCAUUGGCAAGGAACUUCCAGAACGGAAAUGGCCUAUCCAGAUAUCACUUUAAGAGAGAGAAGCACAAGUUCUAAUGUUAUGUUUCAGAGGAUGAACAAGCACUAGACUAUAUCUCACCUCAGAUUGAUUAACCGAAGGCUAAGGGUGAGUCUGUAUCUAGUGGAGGUGCUCUAAUUUUUUCUGAUGAGCGGUAAGAGAUUUCAUCACGGGAACACUGGACUUCAAGUACGAGGAUAUGACAACUUUAAACAAAACAGACAAAAGUGUCGAGGCAGAGAAGCGAAGCAGUAUAUGUUAAAGAAGAUCCAGCUGAAGGAAAAUUCAAGGAUUGCAUCACAAAGCAGUGGUGGUGGAGACCCGUCACAUGUGUAUCAGUGUAUGAUGUACUCAAAGGUCCACGAUCUACUUCAUGGUAACAAUCUCUCGCUAAGAUAGAUCUUUUAACCGGAGUGUAAGUAGCAAUGUGGAAUCUUUCUCUGGCAAAGAAGCUUUGGUUCAUUUGUAGAGUCAUCAUGGUUUAGUUUAUAUGAUAUAUCAAGUUUUGGGUGAUGGUUUUCACAAAGUUUUUAACUUUUAUUUAUUUAUUUGGUUUGUGUUUUAUUUUUCAUUUGUAAUGUGAACAGGGUUUAGAAAACAAUAGUAUUUUGGUCAACUUUGGAUUCAAUUUAUUCAUGUAAAAAUACA